AUGGCAGUUUACUGCUUCAGGACCAGCAGGAGACUCUCCAGCACAUGCAGUCAAGACACAGUCACAUAUAUGAGCACACAAUGUACCAUUCAUCGCCCUAUCAACCUAAUCAUGGCAGUGCAUCCCAUAACCUUUGCCAUGUUCUGCUGGUUGGGAGCAACUGACGAGCCCUGUCUACACUCAAAGGGAAGAGGCUAUUCAGAGCCUGGACAUGGGACCCACACCUGUCUGUCCAUCACACCAGAUCAUAACGUAGGUCCUGGAAUGCAGUAACAUUCCUGUUUAACAAGCAAAUGUUCUUUCAACUAAACUGAACUGUGAGAUUGUCAGAGGAAGGCGCUGGAUUCACAUGAGUAUGAUGAGUAAAACACCAAAGCCAAAAAAUGAUGGUAGAAAAUAAUAGGGGGAUGGCAGAAUUGGUGCCCCACUGUAUAUUGCAAAUGAGUGGAAAUCUGAUUCAAAUUUGUUAUAGAAAAAAGAGACAUCCACCUCUCUCAUAACUAAAAGGUCCCAGAAGAACUUGAGGUGAAGCUUGAUCAGGAGCUCAAGCAGUGUUACCAGGACGGAGUCCCCUUCUCUCCUCUCUCUCACCUCCCUCCAAUCCCACCUUUGUUCUCUGGGGUUUCGCCAUUCUCAUUUCUAUGUGAGGCAAUGGUUCUUUGGUAUUUCUAGGUCCAAACUGCCCAGGUUCGUAUAGAUCUAGGAGGAACACACAGCCUGCUCUUAGUAAGUCCGGCAAGAUCAGUGUCUAUCAUCACCAGCUCCACUGAAUACUUCUGACCCUGAACCAGUCUCUGAGGUCAGGGGAACAAGAUGUUUGGAUUUCACAGGUGUAAGAUAAAAAUACCUUACUGGUCAGUCUGAAGGUAUCUUUAACAUGGCGACUCAUCUGAAGGGUACUCUGGGAUGAACCAGCCUGUUGCACAACCAAGCAAGGCAAUGUGGUUGAAGUGUAAUGGAUCAGGUACCAAGCUCUGCCAGUGAUUAGCAUGGGACCUGGCCAAGUCUCUUCACACAACAUCCAGAAUCCUUAUCUACAUAUUGAAGCUGGACCUGUGGAUUCUAGUGGGCCCCUUCAGCUCCUACCCACCCCCAUAACUCUACCCCCACAGUGACAGCACCCUGGUGCCUGUCUGCCCUGGCCCCUACGCUGACACAGCCCUGGCAUCCUUUACAGGAAGUCUCACCUCCAGGUGCUUUUGUCUGGCCAAGGUCACUGAGAGCCUGCAGCCUGGCGUACUUGCCUUGAGUGUGAGUUUCUUCCCUCUGGCUCCCCAGGAGCUGCUGCCUGUCCCCAAGACCCUGAACAUGAGGAGCAAACCUCAUGCUGGAGAACUUCCCAACAGUGCAGGUGAUAUCUGAGGCAUGUCAACUUAUAAUGGAGUCAGUGUCCCAAAAAACCCAUGGUAAGAUAAAAAUUUCUUAAAUUGAAAAUUCAUUUAAUAUACCUGACCUCCUGAACAUCAUAGCUCAGCCUAGCCUACCUUAAGUGUGUUUGGAACACUUACAUUAGCCUCCAGUGGGCAGUCAUCUAACACAAAGCCCAUUUUAUAAUCAACUGUUGAAUAUCCGAGGAAAUUUAUCAAAUGUGGCAUACUGUAGGGUUUAGCAUGGGCUGCUGAGCCUCAUGACUGUGUGGCUAACCCAGCAACGCCUGGCUGAUGCUGCCCAGCAGCUCCAAAGACCAUUGUAUUUCAUAUCACCAGCCAGGAAGAUGUCCAAAUUUAAAAUAUGUUUUCUACUAACAGAGUAAAAUACAUCAUUGUGAAGUCCAAAAAUCGGUAGGUUGGGAAGUUGGGAACUAUCUGUAUUAAAGCAAUUAAAUGUAUAAGAAUCUGUGGCUCUAGCAAGAUCAGAGUUAAUGGUCCUACCUGCUGUAAGUAAGCAACAUGAGGACAUUUUAGGCCAACACAAGGAGGCUACAUUUGACCCAUUUAUAAAACAGUGUGAUCCUGAAGAACACAUCUCUUGGACAAGGGUUUGCCAGCUCACAAGGUCAUGUAUAAAAGUUCCAUGGAUGGUGUUGAAAUUGUCUCCAGAAAUCAGGCCUCUAGAGCCCCAGAAUGUUCCCACUGUGAUUUCCUUUCAAGGAAUUAAGUAAUUAUCCUUUAAGUACAGAGGAACUUUAUCCUUUUCAAAACCAGGCUGACACCCUCCGUAAUAAGAGCAGGAAGGCACCGCCCAUCCGCACCAGCACCAAGGGUGAAGACACAGGCUCACGAGUAUUAAAAGGAUCCUGAGGCACAGAGACAGUGACCGCCAGCACCGUGGCUAGGACUGCCAGCCUCCUGCAAGCCUGCCUGUUCUAUUUGGCCAAACUGCAAGGGUAGCUGGUGAAGAAGCUUUGCUCACUGACUAUGAGAGGCAGAUCCAAAUUGUCUUCUGCCUGGGGCUGCUGCUGCACACAAAGAUUUCAUCCCAGCCAGGGAUCAAUUGCUUUUUGUUUUUUUUUAGUAGUGGGGAUUGAACUCAGAACCUUCUGCUUCCUAGGCAGGACCAGGGCCACUGAGCUAAAUCCCCUGCCUUUUGUUUGUUUGUUUGUUUGAGACAGGGUCUCACUACAUAGUGAGACUGACCUGGAACUCACUGUGUAGCCCAGGCUAGUCUUGAACUCACCGUGAUCCUCCUGCCUCAGCCUCCCAAGUGCUGGGAUUUUAGGUGUGCACCACCACGCCUGGCUUUUUUUUUUUUUUUAAUGAAAUGGGGCAGUUCCUCUAGAGGUUGAAGUAGUACCAAUGUCUCUGUUUUGUUUCUUUAUUUCACUCACUUCUCAGCUAGAUCUGUUCCUAAGAUUUAAUUGAGCAUUUUACAGUUCGGGAAACUGAGGCCCAAGAGAUGAAGUCUUGCCCAGUGCCUCAACUCAGGGCUUUAAGGUGCCUUUUCCAUAAUGGAACGUGUUCCAGCCUUUGAGCCCUGCGGGAGGGCACCAGCUAGUCUCACCUCUUCCAGAUUUGUGCUGAGAGCAAAGCCUCAAAGGAGAUUUUUACCUGCCAAGAGUCCAGCGGAGGCCCAGGAAUCUUCCAUUUUUCAAGCUAUUGGUCUCCCAUCCCUCUGAACUCCUUGUAUCCUGUGCCCUUCUCAACACCAGGACCCAGCCCUCUGAGGGCCUAACAAGCCCUGCCCAUCCUGCCCAGGGGUUUAAGGAUUGCAUACUUUCCCCCAGAAGUGUUUUUACUACUCUUGAGGGACGGCUUUGGGCACUGCCUCUGAGGAUGCCCUAAAAUCUCUUCUGGACGUGAUUCCUCGAUCUUUGGAGGCCCUAGCCCUGAACAACCAUGGAUGAAUUGAGAAACCCUGUAGCUGAUGCAAUUUAGAGGGCCUUCUGUAGGAAAAAUUAUACAAAACUGCGCAAGGUAAAUGCCCCCAGGCUGCUAAAGGGGCCUUGCCAAUGAGGAGCCUGCACUUCUGGCCCAAGUCUCCCUGCAGCUGCCUGGCUCCAGGAGACACCGAGAGGGGCAGAGGUGGCUAGGGCUGUAGUGAAGGGCAAGGGAUCUUUUGUCUCCUCCCCUAAGAGUUGGCUACUGUCGUUUCAUUAAGUCCUCCUUCAACAGGGCAAAGUGAAUUUCACUUCACUUUUGGGUACAGUGAGAAGACCUGUGUCUCCCUCAUGUAGGCUGGGCAAAUUCCCCGCCACUUCCACUUUUGGCACCCCAUGAGUGCCAAGAGGUCAGGGUCAUCCCCUUCGCCAAAUGCUAGAACUUCCCUAAGGUUAUUCAUUGUGGCUCAGAACUGC
ensembl:lincRNA